rnacentral:rRNA from 1 species
UACGUAGGGUGCAAGCGUUGUCCGGAAUUAUUGGGCGUAAAGAGCUCGUAGGCGGUUUGUCACGUCGGAUGUGAAAUCCCGGGGCUUAACCUCGGGCCUGCAUUCGAUACGGGCUGACUAGAGUUCGGUAGGGGAGACUGGAAUUCCUGGUGUAGCGGUGAAAUGCGCAGAUAUCAGGAGGAACACCGGUGGCGAAGGCGGGUCUCUGGGCCGAUACUGACGCUGAGGAGCGAAAGCGUGGGGAGCGAACAGG